rnacentral:rRNA from 1 species
CGGACGGGACCGCAAAGUCCGCCCCCGGCAUUCAGCUCGUCCUCUACCGGGCGCCCCCGCCCACGAGACCCGAUUCUACGCGGGCCUUGGCGGGGUCGCGGGCCGGGAGACUUGGACGCGUGCACUUGCCGGGGUUCAGCGGAGCGCCAGGACCGGCUAGGCGGAGGCGAGAAGGCCGCGGGGAUGGUAGCCCGCCCUCACGGGCGGGUGGUAUAGCCCCGCGAGUCGCAGGCCCUCUGCCUGGCCGAGGAGGAUCCGCGCCUGCCCCCUCUCGGGGGCUCGUUGCCCGGGGCCGCCCGUUGCCUCGUCCGUGGGAGGACUGCUUGCAUGUGCUUUUUCCCGCGGCCGGGGUCGGGACGGACUCCGGCGACCUCGAAACGGCGCCAAGGGUCUCUGGCGAAUCCGGUCGGCACCCCGUCCGACCCGUCU